CCCAAAUGAUGUAAUAUUUAUUGCCUUAUUUGUUUAGUGAAGGUAAAAAAACUGAUUUAAUGAGACUGAUGG
rnacentral:snoRNA from 1 species